rnacentral:rRNA from 1 species
UACGUAGGGCGCAAGCGUUGUCCGGAAUUAUUGGGCGUAAAGAGCUCGUAGGCGGUCUGUCACGUCGGAAGUGAAAACCCGGGGCUUAACCCCGGGCUUGCUUUCGAUACGGGCAGACUAGAGUGUGGUAGGGGAGACUGGAAUUCCUGGUGUAGCAGUGAAAUGCGUAGAUAUCAGGAGGAACACCGAUGGCGAAGGCAGGUCUCUGGGCUGAUACUGACGCUCAUGCACGAAAGCGUGGGGAGCAAACAGG